rnacentral:rRNA from 1 species
GCAGGCCUAACACAUGCAAGUCGAGCGGAAACGACUUAACUGAACCUUCGGGGGACGUUAAGGGCGUACAGCGGCGGACGGGUGAGUAAUGCCUGGGAAUAUGCCUGUGAGUUGUGGGGGAUAACUAUUGGAAACGAUAGCUAAUACCGCAUAAUGUCUUCAGGACCAAAGAGGGGGACCUUCGGGCCUCUACGCGCUAAGAUUAGCACCAGGUGAGAUUAGCUAGGUUGGUGAGGUAAGAGCUCAACCAAAGGCGACGAUCUCUAGCNUGGUCUGAGAGGAUGAUCAGCCACACUAGGAACUGAGACACGGUCCAGACUCCUACGGGAGGCAGCAUUGGGGAAUAUGGCACAAUGGGCGAAAGCCUGAUGCAGCCAUGCCGCGAUGUAUGAAGAAGGCCUUCGGGUUGUAAAGUACUUAUCGAGUAGGGGAGGAAGGUGUANGUAGUUAAUAGCUGCAUCAUUUGACGUUACCUACAGAAGAAGCACCGGCUAACUCCGUGCCAGCAGCCGCGGUAAUACAGAGGGUGCGAGCGUUAAUCGGAAUUACUGGGCGUAAAGCGCAUGCUGGUGGUUCAUGUAGUCAGAUGUGACAGCCCGGGGCUCAACCUCGGAACCGCGUUUGACUCUGGUGAACUAGAA